CGAGCGAAGUCUUCGGACUUAGCGGCGGACGGGUGAGUAACGCGUGGGAACAUACCCUUUGGUACGGAAUAGCCUCGGGAAACUGGGAGUAAUACCAUAUACGCCCUUCGGGGGAAAGAUUUAUCGGAGAAGGAUUGGCCCGCGUUUGAUUAGAUAGUUGGUGGGGUAAUGGCCUACCAAGCCGACGAUCCAUAGCUGGUUUGAGAGGAUGACCAGCCACACUGGGACUGAGACACGGCCCAGACUCC
rnacentral:rRNA from 1 species